rnacentral:lncRNA from 1 species
AUAUCAGUAGCUUAUCCAUUGUAUGAUAGUAUCUUUUAACCAUAGUGAUAGUAGCAUUCUAACUCUAUGCUAGUAUCUUUUCAACAUGAUGUCAAAAGCUACUAUUUCUAUUUUAAUACUAAUAUUUUGUUGCAUCUUUGUUUUUACAGAAUUCUUCCCUUUGCAUAGUUGUAAUAGAUUACGAAAAUCAUGUGAGUUUGGAAAUCAAAGCUUCCAUAGAGAUCAUUGGGCCAACCAAGAAAAUCGUGCUCAAAGUGGAAAAAGUAUGUCACGCCCCAAUUUUCGAAGGAUAAAUUUCAAAAAUUUGGGCAUGAUAUAACUCACAAAUAAGACUACAUGACCUGCUCAACAAAUCCCUACUAAACUUAAAUGCUGGAAAUGUAAAUGUCAACAAAACUCAUCGACUGAGUUAAACAUUACAUCUCUUUAUUUACAACUUCAAAAGUCUAGUAAAAAGAAGAUGCUCACACGAGCUUAAAAAUAACUUACAUAAUAUACAAAUAAAAUGUACAUCAUCUAAACCCCAGCCACUAUGCCUCUGCCUCAACCCUGUUGAUCAACACCUGCAAGUCUAACCCCUACACCAUGAAUUGGUGCACCGGGUUGUAAACAACAAACCCGGUAAGCUAAAAAGCUCGUAUGAGUAAUUCUCAAAAUUUACUCAACAUCUCUAACACCACAUAAGAUAAAACCGGCAAUUCCUGCUUUAGAACUUAGUUCAGGAAUCACUUCAAAACAAUAAAAUCAUAAGUGAAUCCUGCAAAAGGAU